UAUUUUAUGGAUAAUUGAAUAUAUAGGUAUCAGUUAUUUUUGAGUCACUGAAAUGUUUAAUUUAUGUAUUUGCAUAAAGAUAAACCCAACAUAGGAACUAGUCAGACCAAUGUUAUUGAUUAAUAGCAUUAAAAAAAGCAUUCCAGAGGUUUCAAGACUAAUAAAAUAACUCAAAUAUUAGUAAUUUUGAUCUAUUGUUUCUGAAGUUCCUUGGCGCUGAGUCUGUUAAAUCAAAGUUUUACUGUAUUUGUGUAUAAGAUUUAAUAUAAAAUGAGAUGUAUAUAUAUUCUAGGUAUCGACCUGUUCCAAAUGAUGAAUCAGAAUCUGGGCAGAACAGAACUGGUGCAUUUUCUCGUACCCAAACUCCUAAUUCUGGUUAUUCUAGUCGUCGAAACAAAGGAUCAAGUGGUGGAAGAACUUCGCCAAAGAAAAAGGGGGAUGAAUUAUGGAAUGGUAAAAAAAACAUAUUAAAAAUGUUGUUAAUUAGCUGCUAAUCAGUUGUAAUUUUGUUUUACAGAAGGAAUAGUACCAGAAGUUGU
rnacentral:lncRNA from 1 species